CCCUUUACAAGCUGCUGAAUUUGUGUCAAAGUUGAGCAGAGAAAGAGAGACACAGAGAGUGAAAGAGAAUUACCAAGGCUUUCCAACGCUACCAGAGACACUUCACCAGCACCAGAGACACGUGUAAGAUGUGAGGACGCUGGCCCUGUCCUGAUGUCGACACUGUUUGAAUCAGUUACACUACACUGAGUACCUGCCGACUGAAAGUGUUUGCUACCCCAUGGUUGGAUGAAGAGGAUUUGAUUGAACAAGAAACACAGAAUCUCAGUGUCCUACAGCUGGGAUAAAUCUACGGAGAGAAAUGCUUUUCUCUAAAGCCGACAUGUGAUGAGAGUUAACUGAGGUCAAAUGAAACCACGUGAACAAAAUAUUUUCAUGAACAGAGACGUUGCAUUCAUGUUUUGCAGGAAAGAUCAUCAAACAAUUCAGCUACUCGGAUCCUAUUCAUGGUUUGGUGAGGUGGGAUUUCGAUGUUUGGAUGGAAAUCCAGAUAAAAAGAAACUUCAAUAAUUACCUACAGUAUGCCCCCCCACACAGAGAAGCACAUGCACACAAAUGUCAAAAUCAAGACUAUUAAAUUAAACUUCAAGAAAGAAGAAAGGUGGUAACAGUCAUGUAUGGAAGUACACCGUGUCUUCUCUAUAGAGCAGUCUUUUGUCAUUAAGACCAACAGCUCAUGUGAUAUAAACACAAAAAAGAAACAUAAUUAGGCCUAAUCCUAAAAACAACAACUACAUAAACAUAUAUCCAUUCUCUCUGCUGUGCUGCAGAUGCUGCCAAAUGAGGAGCCUUGUUCUUGGGCGAGAGCCAUAACUACCCCACAGGGGCGAGCGCAUGUAACCUGUUUCCUCAUAAACCACAGGACAAUGCUCCAGCUCAAUCAAACACAUUGCCUCCAUUGGGAUGGUCCCCGGAUUUUUUUUCUUCUUCUUCCCCUCGUUUUUAUCUCUGUUUAAUGAAGCUACGGAGCUGGAUACGUGUGUCCCUAUUGUGAGGAGAGGACAGGCCCAUCUGCUACGGAGACAUCUGCAGUGCCCCAGCCCAGGGGCAGGACACACCUUUACCCCUUGGGGAUCAGGCACAAAGGCAGGGGUAGGGGAACAGAGAUUUUCUGCUUCAGGGUGGUUCUCCAAGUUGCCAGGUUAUUGGGAUGCCUUGGCUUUGCUCUGUGGAUGAGUUAUGGGUGCAGCUGUGAAUUCCUGCCUAUGUUUGCGAGAUAACUUUAGGGUUUCUGUCAGUGUACUCAGAAGGGAUCCUGCCUUUUGUAAGAUCGUGAAGAUAUGAUUGUCGUCCAAUUGCAAUGAAUACACUUAAUCAAUUCUCAAGAAGGACAGUUUCAAACCCGUUCUGCUGUGCCAGAUGCUGGUAAUUCCAACCCAUGUUUGAAAUGUACCUCAGGAAGUUAUCUCAGGCAGCUGCUGUCAGCCCUGCCGGACAUAUUCAUAAAUUAAAAGUGUUGAAAGUCAAAACAAUAUUCAGUGUUUCUGCUUCACAAGUGAUGGUAUUAGGAAGUGAUUCUAAUACAAUCCUCAGCUCUAUCAUGGGUUGGGGAAGUAAUUGUCAUAUCAAAAAUAUCUAUGAUU